rnacentral:rRNA from 1 species
ACCUGCACAGCAGAAUGACCCGCGAACUCGUCAAGAACACCGGGGGACGCCGCAUGGCCCCCCUCGUCGGUGCGUGCAACCCUUGGGGAGUGCGCAUCGGCCCCGAACAAACCCCGGCGCGGUCUGCGCCAAGGAAAACAUAACUCAAAGAGAGCGCCCCCCCUUCCCGUCACCCCGUUCGCGGCGCGUGCCUGGUUGGGUGGUUGGUUCUUAGUGAAAAACACAAACGACUCUCGGCAACGGAUAUCUCGGCUCUCGCAUCGAUGAAGAACGUAGCGAAAUGCGAUACUUGGUGUGAAUUGCAGAAUCCCGUGAACCAUCGAGUCUUUGAACGCAAGUUGCGCCCGAAGCCAUUAGGCCGAGGGCACGUCUGCAUGGGCGUCACGCAUCGCGUCGCCCCCCUCACCACAAAAAGGGAAGAGGGGGAGCGGACAAUGGCCUCCCGUGCCCUCAAGUGCGGUUGGCUCAAAUUGGAGUCCCCCGAAGGAGGACGCACGACAAGUGGUGGUUUAUUACAAUGCCCUCGCGUCGAGUCGUGCGCAUGUCCAACUCUGGGAUUUGGCUCUUGCGACCCUGAUGUGCCUUGAACUUAGGCGCUCCGACCGCGACCCCA